GUGUCUGUCAUGCUCAAACUCCGGUAAGUAGACCCACACCUGUAUGAGAAAAUUAAGACCAAAUAAAGCUAAAGACCUAGAACGCUAAGUGAGACAACAACCCUUCAUGUUGGACACAUGUGAGACAUGAUUGUGACUGUUUUUUUAAAAAAAUUAACCUUUCUGGCAAAAAGUGGCUAAAAAUAUAAGAUUUGGCUAAGACCCCGCGAAGCCAAGAACCUAACUCACUAGGAAGACCAGACCCUAUGUGGGUUGCCUACGUAUCAUGUCCCGAAAAACGAGAAUCAGGUAUGCGUAGUUCGGGCAGAUUGGAUACGGGCAAGAAUUAAAAAAAAACUAAUUUAGAGAAAACAUAUUUUUUGUCUUUUUUUUUUCAAAAGUGAUGAAACAUGUAAACUCUUUUUGGAUUUUCUUUUCCCUUUUUUUGAUUUUUUGAUUUUCGGAAAAUGAUGAAAAAGUGCAAAAUUGUUUUUUGAAUUUUCAUGGUUUUUUAAAACAAAAGUGUGACAGAAAACAUAAUUGGGCCCUACUUACUUUAUUUUCAUACUUCAGCCUCUUUUUUUUCUUUUAUUUUCAUUUGCCCUCAACUAUCAUUGGUCCGCCAAAUGACCCUUUUACCCUUGAAGAUUGCAACAUGUAUCACAUAGGAUGCAUCAAGAUGGUCUUUUAUUUUUGGGUAACUUGUCCUAGACGGACCCAACCAUUGUGUUGAGCCCCCUAAGUCAAAUGCACGUGAUGCAACAAACGUUCCUACUAGGGAUCCGACAUGAGGCUUUGUUAUUCUAGGUUUAAAACUUGGGUUUAUUUGUUCUAUACCUGGCUUACCCGAACGGACAGCUCGAGCUGAGAGAGGCAGCGUACCGGGAAUAUAGAAGCUUCACCGGCUUUGCAACUUGUCCGAACCUCGUUCUAAAAUUGAGAUAUGACUCUAACAGAAGAGAAGCUACACAAAGUGCACCCUUCCCAGAUGAUUUAGAAGACUUAGAGAGAGGAGGGUUUCGUAAUAGUUUAUAUGCAGUUCAAAUAAUAUCAAAGAGGUAAAAAGUGACAAUUAGCACAUUAGGCUCAAACAUAUAAAAACUAGAUAAUAAAUAGAAGCCAACUAUAACAGUUACUCUAAGCUCGAAUUCUGAACCCUGAACUAGAAGUUCUGGGUUCAUGUCCCAGCAGAGUCGCCAGAGUUGUCACACCUCCUUUUUACUACCCCCGGAAGGGUAUAAGGGAAUUUUUCCAAUUUAAGUGACAAUCGAAACAUGAUUUAUUUAUUUAUUUAUUCAGAGUCUCCACUUGGGAUAAUUUAUGGUGUCCCAAGUCACCAGUUCAAAUCCCGAAUCGAGAAAAGAUUGACUCUGUUUUACAGUCCGCGAACACAGAAAUCUGGGUAAGGAAUUCUGUUAACCCAAGAGAAGGUGUUAGGCAUUCCCGGGGCGUGGUUUUAGCACGGUCGCUCAACUGUUAUUAUUGGCCUAAUUAUCAAAUUUUAAAACACUUUUAAACCUAUGCAUUUUUUAACUUUCAAAACCGCUUUAUUGAUUUAAGGAAUUAUUUCAAGGUUAUCUAAAACACAUCGUAAGCCACGCUACAUGAAAUGCACUUGUGAUUUACGACCCAUUCUGUUUAACCUUGUUGGAAAUUGAAGUCGGGUCACAUGUAAUGCACACCCGGAUUUAUAACAUGUUUAUUUUAAUUAUUAUUCGAAGUUAUUUUCGGGUCACAUGAAAUGCACACCCGAAUUGGGAUUUACGUAUUGUGACCAUGUCAUGAGAACCGUACCAAUAGUCACGAUAAUUUAUUAUUAACACGCAUAAAGCAAAUCAUAUUGGCUACUAUACAUUAUAGAAAAGCAGAGUUAAAGAAACCGAUGUAGGCCUACGAGAGUUAACACGCAACUUGCACAAGUAGUGUAACUAGAGAUGUCAAGUAAAGGAAACUAAAACCAUAUUAAUUUUUAUAUCCAAUGAUACUGAAUUUUUCAAACAAUUAAGAGGAAGAAGGUUAUAGAACCAAUAUUUCUAGCAUAAACUUUCAAAAACAUGAUAAGGAAAAAUCACUUUGUCCAAUUGGAUUUAGUCAUAUUAUUCCAAACCAACCUAUUGUUAUUAAGAACAAAGAUAUAUUUGGACAUCAAACAUGUUUCAACGACCAACCAAAAAUCCGAUGAGAUCCAUUUUAAUUAUUCAACAUCAGUACUCCCAAUAAGAUCACAACAUGGAUUAUAAACCAACAUUCCUAUGUAAAUGCAAAAAAAAAAAAACAGAAGAAAUAAUGGCAAAAAAAAUGGCAAUGAAUCAAUUAUAAGGAAAAUUCAUCAAAUGCCAAAAACAGAAUAAAAUUGAAAGAAAGAAACUGAACCUUUAAUAGAAUUUCAGAUGGAACCUUCUUCCAUAUUUGAUUCAAUACAAAGAGACAACUCCAACAUGAACCGUGUAACAGCAAAUUCAAACAGGGGUCACGGACUUAAACCUCAAACUGCAACCUGAACCUCGACUCAGCCGCGUCCCAACCAACCGUAGCAGCAACAAAAAUAGAACAAAAGGCAACUAGAAUUCGAACCUAAACCAGACUGAAUUUGCUCGACACGAAUGGAAACAACAACUCCGAAUCUCGAUGGCAACUAGUGAACGACAACGGAUCCGAAUCCACCUCUGUCCCUUCGCACUCUAUUUUUCACUCAAUCUUCUAACUGUUCAGUCACUCUCUAUGCGUGUAUGCGUAUCUUCCGACGAAUUUUAGUGAAAGAGGGCUGGAUGUGGCAGAUUUCAGGGCAAGGAGUCGGGGUCGGUGUUGUUUGAUGUUAUGGGGUGUAGAAGAAGAUGGUUAGAUGAGGAGGUC
rnacentral:lncRNA from 1 species